rnacentral:rRNA from 1 species
AGCCUGAUCCAGCCAUGCCGCGUGCAGGAAGACGGCCCUAUGGGUUGUAAACUGCUUUUUUACGGGAAGAAACACCGCUACGUGUAGCGGCUUGACGGUACCGUACGAAUAAGGACCGGCUAACUCCGUGCCAGCAGCCGCGGUAAUACGGAGGGUCCGAGCGUUAUCCGGAAUCAUUGGGUUUAAAGGGUCCGUAGGCGGACGUCUAAGUCAGUGGUGAAAUUCUGCAGCUCAACUGUAGAACUGCCAUUGAUACUGGUCGUCUUGAAUCGUUGUGAAGUGGCUAGAAUAUGUAGUGUAGCGGUGAAAUGCUUAGAUAUUACAUAGAAUACCGAUUGCGAAGGCAGGUCACUAACAACGUAUUGACGCUGAUGGACGAAAGCGUGGGGAGCGAACAGGAUUAGAUACCCUGGUAGUCCACGCCGUAAACGAUGGAUACUAGCUGUCCGGCGCACAUUGGUGUGCUGGGUGGCCAAGCGAAAGUGAUAAGUAUCCCACCUGGGGAGUACGUUCGCAAGAAUGAAACUCAAAGGAAUUGACGGGGGCCCGCACAAGCGGUGGAGCAUGUGGUUUAAUUCGAUGAUACGCGAGGAACCUUACCAGGGCUUAAAUGUAGUCUGACAGAUUUGGAAACAGAUCCUUCUUCGGACAGAUUACAAGGUGCUGCAUGGUUGUCGUCAGCUCGUGCCGUGAGGUGUCAGGUUAAGUCCUAUAACGAGCGCAACCCCUGUUGUUAGUUGCCAGCGAGUCAUGUCGGGAACUCUAACAAGACUGCCGGUGCAAACCGUGAGGAAGGUGGGGAUGACGUCAAAUCAUCACGGCCCUUACGUCCUGGGCCACACACGUGCUACAAUGGCAGGUACAAUGGGCAGCCACUGCGCAAGCAGGAGCGAAUCCACAAAACCUGUCUCAGUUCGGAUCGGGGUCUGCAACUCGACCCCGUGAAGCUGGAAUCGCUAGUAAUCGGAUAUCAGCCAUGAUCCGGUGAAUACGUUCCCGGGCCUUGUACACACCGCCCGUCAAGCCAUGGAAGCUGGAAGCACCUGAAGUCCGUCACCGCAAGGAGCGGCCUAGGGUGAAGCUGGUAACUGGGGCUAAGUCGUAACAAGGUAGCCGUACCGGAAGGUGCGGCUGGAACACCUCCUUU